CUCUAGCUGGUCUAGUGGUUAGGAUUCUUGGUUUUCACCUAGGCUGCCCAGGUUCAAUUCCUUGGCAGAGA
rfam:Sus scrofa isolate TJ Tabasco breed Duroc chromosome 13, whole genome shotgun sequence.